ensembl:snRNA U6 U6 spliceosomal RNA
GUGUUUGCUUUAUUAGCACAUAUACUAAAGCUAGAACGAUACAGAGAAGAUUAGCUAUGUCUCUUUCCUACACAAGGAUGACAUGCAAAUUCAAGACACUCCAUGUUUUA